rfam:Asian citrus Psyllid, Diaphorina citri - Florida Strain, whole genome shotgun sequence.
GUAAGUAAACAAUGUAUAGCAUGAUGAAUACAUCAGAUCUGACUGGAUCACUGAAGUUAAGCAACGUUUCGCGAGGUUAGUAUCCGGAUGGGUGACCAUCUGGACAAUCGCGUGCUACUGGCU